CCUACGGGAGGCAGCAGUGGGGAAUCUUCCGCAAUGGGCGAAAGCCUGACGGAGCAACGCCGCGUGAUCGAAUGAAGGCCUUCGGGUUGUAAACUUCUUUUAUCAGGGACGAAGCAAGUGACGGUACCUGAUGAAUAAGCCACGGCUAACUACGUGCCAGCAGCCGCGGUAAUACGUAGGUGGCAAGCGUUAUCCGGAUUUACUGGGUGUAAAGGGCGUGUAGGCGGGAGUGCAAGUCAGAUGUGAAAACUAUGGGCUCAACCCAUAGCCUGCAUUUGAAACUGUACUUCUUGAGUGCUGGAGAGGCAAUCGGAAUUCCGGGUGUAGCGGUGAAAUGCGUAGAUAUACGGAGGAACACCAGUGGCGAAGGCGGAUUGCUGGACAGUAACUGACUCUGAGGCGCGAAAGCGUGGGGAGCAAACAGGAUUAGAUACCCCAGUAGUC
rnacentral:rRNA from 1 species